UCCUGCCUGCCCAGUGGCUGAAAAGUUAAACGGCCGCGGUAUCUUGACCGUGCGAAGGUAGCAUAAUUAUUUGUCUCCUAAAUAGAGACUGGCAUGAAUGGCAAGACGGGGCUCUACUGUCUCCUUAUCUCCCACCUGAAAUUCACAUCUUUGUGAAGAGGCAAAGAUAAAAUCGCUAGACGAGAAGACCCUAUCGAGCUUAAACUAAAGCAGAAGCUUAAAUUCCCCUCACCAUUCAUCUAAUCAAAUUCGCUUAAUGAAGAACUGAGAAAUCGUUUUUUGUGGGAGUUUUAGUUGGGGCAACUGCGGAGAAGAAAAUCCUCCGCUAUCAUCUAAGCUUUUAGGAAAACUACCCUAAAGCAAGAACAGCAAGUGAUCCACCCUGGUGAUCAAAGGAACAAGUUACCGUAGGGAUAACAGCGUAAUCUUUUUCGAGAGUUCAUAUUGACAAAAAGGUUUGCGACCUCGAUGUUGGAUCGGGACAUCCUAAUAGUGCAGAAGCUUUUAAGGGUUGGUCUGUUCGGCCAUUAAAGUCCUACGUGAUCUGAGUUCAGACCGGA
rnacentral:rRNA from 1 species